rnacentral:rRNA from 1 species
UACGUAGGGCGCAAGCGUUGUCCGGAAUUAUUGGGCGUAAAGAGCUCGUAGGCGGCUUGUCACGUCGGGUGUGAAAGCCCGGGGCUUAACCCCCGGGUCUGCAUUCGAUACGGGCUGGCUAGAGUGUGGUAGGGGAGAUCGAAUUCCUGGUGUAGCGGUGAAAAUGCGCAGAUAUCAGGAGGAACACCGGUGGCGAAGGCGGAUCUCUGGGCCAUUACUGACGCUGAGGAGCGAAAGCGUGGGGGAGCGAACAGG